rnacentral:rRNA from 1 species
UACGGGGGGGGCAAGCGUUGUUCGGAAUUACUGGGCGUAAAGGGCGCGUAGGCGGCCUUCUAAGUCGGACGUGAAAUCCCCAGGCUCAACCUGGGAACUGCGUCCGAUACUGGAUGGCUUGAAUCCGGGAGAGGGAUGCAGAAUUCCAGGUGUAGCGGUGAAAUGCGUAGAUAUCUGGAGGAAUACCGGUGGCGAAGGCGGCAUCCUGGACCGGCAUUGACGCUGAGGAGCGAAAGCCAGGGGAGCAAACGGG